rnacentral:lncRNA from 1 species
GACCAUAAAUAUCUCGUGAAAUUGAAACGGCCACGUGGCCGUUCACCCUAUCGCAUGAUGCGGUUUCCUCCCCCAAAUUAUCUCACGUUCGGCAGCCGGUUGUAGCAGUUAGCCGGUUCUCUUCGCCUAUCAUGCAUGUAUAUCUAUCUCCAAGAUCCAUCCCCCCUGUCAAACUUUCUAAUGUAUAAAAAGCUGUACGUAUAAACAGUACUUUCAAAUUGAACGGAAAAAAAGAAAAAAUUGAGCAGAGAGUGGUAUACUUUGUGCUGUAAAGAUUGUACGUACGCACAUGAGUAGGGUGGCGUACCAGGCGGGGAUGAGGGUGAUGCAGGGGAUAAAAGACCCGGCUUCAAAACGUGAUACCAACAUCAAAACGCUAAAGGACUCAUACGCAUACAGUUCUUCUUCUAGGCAGGCGAGGAAAUUAUCUGCUGCAAUCGAGUCCACCGGAUUGAAGGCUGAUAAGUUGAAACAGGCUGAAGAGUCCCUCCGUACAGUCAUGUACUUGAGCUGUUGGGGUCCUAAUUGACAUUUCCUUUAUAUUUCAUAUGUAAAUAUAUACAUAAUAUAUAUAGUUUUUAUUUCCUGUUAAAUAUUGUUCCCUCUUUUUUUCUGGGUUAGUGUAUAUUUGAGCUCCUUUUGUUUUGUAUGGGGAAGUAUAUAUGUGGAUGUAUGUACGCUUUGCAACAAGAAUAAAUUUGCUGAGUACAGAUGAUGUGUUUAUAUUUAUUCUGUUUUGUUGAUGAAUUGAGGUGUAUAUAUACUCAGAUUGAACAAAUUAGAUGAUGUGUAGUGUGUUUAGUAUGAGGA